UACAGAGGUCUCAAGCGUUGUUCGGAUUCAUUGGGCGUAAAGGGUGCGUAGGCGGAUAGCCAAGUCGGGGGUGAAAGCCUCCAGCUCAACUGGAGAAGUGCCUCCGAUACUGGCUGUCUCGAGGGAGGUAGGGGUGCGCGGAACUUCCGGUGGAGCGGUGAAAUGCGUAGAGAUCGGAAGGAACGCCGGUGGCGAAAGCGGCGCACUGGACCUCUGCUGACGCUGAGGCGCGAAAGCCAGGGGAGCAAACGGG
rnacentral:rRNA from 1 species